rnacentral:rRNA from 1 species
UACGGAGGGUGCAAGCGUUAUCCGGAUUCACUGGGUUUAAAGGGUGCGUAGGCGGCUAGGUAAGUCCGUGGUGAAAUCCUGCAGCUUAACUGCAGAACUGCCAUGGAUACUAUUUAUCUUGAAUGUCGUGGAGGUUAGCGGAAUAUGUCAUGUAGCGGUGAAAUGCUUAGAUAUGACAUAGAACACCCAUUGCGAAGGCAGCUAACUACGCGAUAAUUGACGCUGAUGCACGAAAGCGUGGGGAUCAAACAGG